rnacentral:rRNA from 1 species
UUAAGCCCCAGUAAACGGCGGUGGUAACUAUAACCAUCCUAAGGUAGCGAAAUUCCUUGUCGGGUAAGUUCCGACCUGCACGAAUGGCGUAACGACUUCUCUGCUGUCUCAACCACAGGCCCGGCGAAAUUGCAGUACGAGUAAAGAUGCUCGUUACGCGCGGCAGGACGAAGAGACCCCGGGACCUUCACUAUAGCUUGGUAUUGGUGUUUGGUUCGGUUUGUGUAGGAUAGGUGGGAGACUGUGAAGCGGCCACGCUAGUGGUGGUGGAGUCGUUGGUGAAAUACCACUCUGAUCGUAUUGAGCAUCUCAACCUCGGCCCAUGAUCUGGGUUAGGGACAGUGCCUGGUGGGUAGUUUAACUGGGGCGGUUGCCUCCUAAAUGGUAACGGAGGCGCCCAAAGGUUCCCUCAGCCUGGUUGGCAAUCAGGUGGUGAGUGUAAGUGCACAAGGGAGCUUGACUGUGAGACAGACAUGUCGAGCAGGGACGAAAGUCGGGACUAGUGAUCCGGCACCUACUUGUGGAUGUGGUGUCGCUCAACGGAUAAAAGGUACCCCGGGGAUAACAGGCUGAUCUUCCCCAAGAGUCCAUAUCGACGGGAUGGUUUGGCACCUCGAUGUCGGCUCGUCGCAUCCUGGGGCUGGAGUAGGUCCCAAGGGUUGGGCUGUUCGCCCAUUAAAGCGGCACGCGAGCUGGGUUUAGAACGUCGUGAGACAGUUCGGUCUCUAUCCGCCGCGCGCGUGGAAACUUGAGAAAGGCUGUCCCUAGUACGAGAGGACCGGGACGGACGUACCUCUGGUGUGCCAGUUGUUCCGCCUGGGGCAGGGCUGGUUGGCUACGUACGGGAGGGAUAACCGCUGAAAGCAUCUAAGCGGGAAGCCUGUUUCAUGAUGAGGUUUCUUUUGAGGUUCCCCAGAGAUGAUGGGGUUGAUAGGCCGGAUCUGUAAGCAUUGUGAGGUGUUGAGGUGACCGGUACUAAUUGGCCGAACUAAACAACAAC